CAGGGUGUAGUCUAGUCGCAGGACAUUUCCCCUACAAUGAAAAGGCACCCGUUCAAAUCGGGUCACUCUGA
rnacentral:tRNA from 1 species